GAUGAACGCUGGUGGCGUGCCUAACACAUGCAAGUCGAGCGAUUCUCCUCGGAGAAGAGCGGCGGACGGGUGAGUAACGCGUGGGUAACCUGCCCUGCACACACGGAUAACAUACCGAAAGGUAUGCCAAUACGAGAUAACAUGCUUUUAUCGCAUGGUAGAAGUAUCAAAGCUUUUGCGGGAUAGGAUGGACCCGCGUCUGAUUAGCUAGUUGGUGAGGUAACGGCGCACCAAGGCGACGAUCAGUAGCCGACCUGAGAGUGUGAUCGGCCACAUUGGAACUGAGACACGGUCCAAACUCCUACGGGAGGCAGCAGUGGGGAAUAUUGCACAAUGGGCGAAAGCCUGAUGCAGCAACGCCGCGUGAGCGAUGAAGGCCUUCGGGUCGUAAAGCUCUGUCCUCAAGGAAGAUAAUGACGGUACUUGAGGAGGAAGCCCCGGCUAACUACGUG
rnacentral:rRNA from 1 species